rnacentral:rRNA from 1 species
CGGGACGGGUGAGUAAUGUCUGGGAAACUGCCUGAUGGAGGGGGAUAACUACUGGAAACGGUAGCUAAUACCGCAUAACGUCGCAAGACCAAAGAGGGGGACCUUCGGGCCUCUUGCCAUCGGAUGUGCCCAGAUGGGAUUAGCUAGUAGUGGGGUAACGGCUCACCUAGGCGACGAUCCCUAGCUGGUCUGAGAGGAUGACCAGCCACACUGGAACUGAGACACGGUCAG